rnacentral:lncRNA from 1 species
UUUUUGCCUAGCGACUGACAACAGGCUGGUUGCUUGGCGUGGAAUCCUAAAGUGGCCUGGCUUUGAGACUGGAGUGAGACCCCAGCCCUAGGCUGGGGUUCUUUCCAUUAUAGAGGAGACGGAUUCAGAAGGGCUACAGACCAAGGUUGUUGAAAACCAGACAUAUGAUGAGCGUCUAGAGAUUAACGACUCCGAAGAGGUUGCAAGUAUUUAUACUCCAACCCCAAGACACCAAGGCUCUCACUCUGUUGCCCGGGCUGGAGUGCAGCAGCAUGAACACUGGACACUGCUCACUGCAGCCUCGAACUCCUGGGUUUAAGCAGACCUCCUGCGUCAGCCUCCCGAGUAGCUGGGACCACAGGCGCAUGGCAUCACACCCAGCUAAUUUUUUUUCUUUUUUUUUUUUUGUAGAUGGGAUCUUGCCAUAUUGUCCAGUCUAGGCUCAAACUCCUGGGCUCAAGUGAUCCUCCUGCCUCCCCUUCCCAAAGUGUUGGGAUUAUAGGCAUGAGCCACUGCCCCUGGCCAGAGUUUAUAUUAUUUAUGUAAUGGCAGAUAAUUUGAAUAGUAUAAUGUCUAACCCAAUGCCUUAA